CAGGGUUUCACCGUUUUAGCCAGGAUGGUCUCGAUCUCCCGCCCUCGUGAUCCGCUCUCCUCGGCCUCCCAAAGUGCUGGGAUUACAGGCGUGAGCCACCGCGCCCGGCCAUCUUAAUUCUUUUUUCUUUUUUUUUUUUUUUUGAAACCGAGUCUCACUCUUGCCCAGGCUGGAGUGCAGCGGCGUAAUCUCAGCUCACUGCGACCUCCGCCUCCCGGGUUCAAGCGAUUGUCGUUCCUCAGUCUCCUAAGUAGCUGGGACUACAGGCGUGAGCCACCAUGACCGGCUAAUCAUCUUAAUUAUUAAUGAAGUGAUCCUUUCUCUGGGACCACUAACCCCUUUGAACAUUUUUUUUUUUGACAGGGUCUCACUCUGUUGCCCGGAGUGCAAUGGUGCGAUCUCGGCUCACUGCAACCUCUGCUACCCAGGCUCAAGCUGUUCUCCCCACCUCAGCCUCCCCAGUACCUGGGACUCCAGGUGUGUGCCACCACGGCCUGCUAAUUUUUGUUUUGUUUUGUUUUGUUUGUAGAGAUGGGGUUUCGCCAUAUUGCCCAGGCUGGGACUCAAGAGAAGCGAUCUUCCAGCCUCAGCCUCUUAAAGUGCUGGGAUUACAGGUGUAAGCCACCGAGCCCGCCCUCUUUGAACAUCUCCAAGAGAUAUAGGCGUUGUUUCCAGAAAAAUGUGCAAAUACGUCAGACUCGCAGUUUAAGGAAACAUCUUUUCAAGACCAACGCAAUUUACACGUCUGUCUGUGGAGAACUCUGACUCAUACACCAAACAAGAUGUCACCCUGCAACAUUCUAACAAAACUUCUAGUCAAAGUCACAGAUGACCUCUGCAAUGUAAAUCCAAAGGUCUGGUCUCAUUCCUCAACUUACUUGAGUUAUAGGAUACCCCAUUGGUUUCACCUACCUCACUUGCCACUUAAUCUUCUUCCCUGUUUUUUCUUUUGUUUUGUUUUGUUUUUUUGUUUUUGAGAAUGAGGCCUGCUCUGGCCCCCAGGCUGGUGUGCAAUGGCAUGAUCUCUGCUCACUGCAACCUUCACUCUCGGGUUCAAGCGAUUCUCCUGCCUCAGCCUCCUUAGUAGUUGGGACUACAGGUACGCACCACCAUGCCCGGCUAAUUUUUGUAGUUUUAAUAGAGACAGGGUUUCACCAAUAUUGGCCAGGCUUGUCUCAAACUCCUGACCUCAAGUGAUCCACCUGCCUUGGCAUCUCAAAGUGCUGGGAUUACAGGCAUGAGCCACCACUCCCAGCCAGCUGUUUUUUCAUUACAUCCUUAGAAUGCCAAAGAGUAAGUGCCCCAUACUUAGACCUCUAAUCUUUUUCCUUUUUAUCUAUCCUAGUUCCCCAGUCGAUCUCCAACAAUUUCGUGGCUUUAAAUAUUAUCUAUAUAUGGACGAUCCUCAAAUUUGUAUUGCGAGCCGAGAUCAUUCUCUUGCAUUCAAGACUACAACUGCCUACUUAACAUCUUCACUUGGAAAUCUAACGGAAAUCUCAAACUUGAUAGGACCAAAACCCAGAUCCGGGUCUCAAUGCGUUCCUCCCACAGCAUUCCUUAUUUCAGUUAAUGAGUCUUCCACCCUUCCUGUUACUUAGGUCAGAUAUCUUAGAGAUACACUCAAUUUCUCCCUUUCUGUCUCACCUGGGAUUAGAGGCGUGCACCACCACACCUAGCUAAUUUUUGUAUUUUUAGUAGAGAUGGGGUUUUACCAUGUUGGUCAGGCUGGUCUCAAACUCCUGACCUCAGGUCAUCCACCGCCUCAGCCUCCCAAAGUUCUGGGAUUAUAGGUGUGAGCCACCACGCCUGGCGGCUUACCUUUCUUCAGGCUAUCCUCAGGACAAUAACCAGAGUGAUCCUAUUAAAUCACAAAUCAAAUCCUGUCAUUACUUAAAAUCCUCCUGGGCUGGGCGCGGUGGCUUAUACCUGUAACUCCAACACCUUGGGAGGCCGAGGCGGGCAGAUCAUGAGGUCAUGAGUUUGAGACCCGCCUGACCAACAUAGUGAAACCCUUUCUCUACUAAAAAUACAAAAAUUAGCCGGGCGUGGUGGUGUGCGCCUGUAAUCCCAGCUACUCAGGAGGCUGAGGCAGGAGAAUAACUUGAACCUGGGAGGCGGAGGUUGCAUUGAGCCGAGAUCGCGCCACUGCACUCCAGCCUGGGUGACAGAGCGAGACUCCAUCUCAAACAAACAAACAAACAAACAAACAAAAAACCAAAAACCCAAAACCAUCCCAGGCUACCCACCUUAUGUUACAGUUAAAGCCAAAAUCCUUUCAAUGGCUGGUGAGGCCUUCUGCAUCUGAACUCACCUACAUUGCUGACCUCAUCUACACUACUGACCUCAUCUCCCACCACCUUCCUCCUCCCUCUCUGGGUUCAGCCAUACUUGCCUCCUUGCCAUUCCCGGAUGAGGUCCCUGGAAACCUCAGAUGAUGUCUUGCUUUAGGGCUUUUGCACACUUUCUUCCCUCCAUCUGGAAUCCUCUUCCCUCAGCUGACCACGUGAUUUGUUUCCAUACUUCCUUCAGGUUUUCACACAAAUGUCAUUUUCUAAGUGAGGCAUUCUCUUAAUUAUACUAUUUUAAAUUAACCCCCUACGUGAUGGCAUGUGUCUCUAGUCCCAGUUACUCAGGACUCUGAGGCAGGAGGAUUGCUUGAACCCAGGAGUUUGAGACCAGAAGGAUCAAGAGAAUAUUUUUGAUCCAGCCUAAAAAAAUUAUUAAAUGUCCUAAAAUUUUUCAAUUUUUCUUCACAACACUAAUCACUAUCUAAUAUGUUUCCCACUUAUUUAACUCUUCUGUCUACUCCCACUAGAAUGUGAGCCCUAUCAGGGUAAAAAUCAUGUUUAACGUACUGCUGUAUCCAAUGCCUAGAACUGUGACUAGCACAUAGUAGGUUCUGAAUAAAUAAGAGUUGUUUGAGAAUGGAAUAAAUCUACAUGUACAGAGAUAUGCACUGCAG
rnacentral:lncRNA from 10 species